rnacentral:tRNA from 1 species
UGGCUGUGAAAAAAGGACCUCAAAACGGACUCUUAAUCCGUAGGUCGAGUGUUCGAGCCACUCACAGCCCACC